rnacentral:rRNA from 1 species
UAAUACGGAGGGGGCGAGCGUUGUCCGAAUUUAUUGGGCGUAAAGCGCGUGUAGGCGGGUGAUCAAGCCUGUGGUGAAAGGUUGGGGCUCAACCCCAAGAGUGCCGUGGGGACUGGUCGCCUGGAGGCAGGCAGAGGAGAGCGGAAUUCCUGGUGUAGCGGUGGAAUGCGUAGAGAUCAGGAAGAACACCCGUGGCGAAGGCGGCUCUCUGGGCCUGUCCUGACGCUGAGACGCGAAAGCGUGGGGAGCGAACAGG